GAUGAACGCUGGCGGCGUGCCUAAUACAUGCAAGUCGAGCGAAUGGAUUAAGAGCUUGCUCUUAUGAAGUUAGCGGCGGACGGGUGAGUAACACGUGGGUAACCUGCCCAUAAGACUGGGAUAACUCCGGGAAACCGGGGCUAAUACCGGAUAAUAUUUUGAACUGCAUGGUUCAAAACUGAAAGGCGGCUUCGGCUGUCACUUAUGGAUGGACCCGCGUCGCAUUAGCUAGUUGGUGAGGUAACGGCUCACCAAGGCAACGAUGCGUAGCCGACCUGAGAGGGUGAUCGGCCACACUGGGACUGAGACACGGCCCAGACUCCUACGGGAGGCAGCAGUAGGGAAUCUUCCGCAAUGGACGAAAGUCUGACGGAGCAACGCCGCGUGAGAGAUGAAGGCUUUCGGGUCGUAAAACUCUGUUGUUAGGGAAGAACAAGUGCUAGUUGAAUAAGCUGGCACCUUGACGGUACCUAACCAGAAAGCCACGGCUAACUACGUGCCAGCCGCCGCCGUAA
rnacentral:rRNA from 1 species